rnacentral:rRNA from 1 species
CAGCCGCCGCGGGAAUACGGAGGGGGCUAGCGUUGCUCGGAAUUACUGGGCGUAAAGCGCACGUAGGCGGCUUGGUAAGUUAGAGGUGAAAGCCCAGGGCUCAACCCUGGAAUUGCCUUUAAGACUGCCGAGCUAGUAGGUGAGAGAGGUAAGUGGAAUUCCGAGUGUAGAGGUGAAAUUCGUAGAUAUUCGGAAGAACACCAGUGGCGAAGGCGGCUUACUGGCUCAUUCUAGACGCUGAGGUGCGAAAGCGUGGGGAGCAAACAGGAUUAGAUACCCGCGUAGUCCCUGUCUCUUAUAC